rnacentral:rRNA from 1 species
GACGGAGGAUGCAAGUGUUAUCCGGAAUCACUGGGCGUAAAGCGUCUGUAGGUGGUUUAAAAAGUCCACUGUUAAAAAUUGAAGCUUAACUUCAAAGAUGCCGUGGAAACUUUUAAACUUGAGUAUGGUAGGGGUAGAGGGAAUUUCCGGUGGAGCGGUGAAAUGCGUAGAGAUCGGAAAGAACACCAACGGCGAAAGCACUCUGCUGGGCCGACACUGACACUGAGAGACGAAAGCUAGGGGAGCGAAUGGG